AAAUGGAUGAUACUGUGAGAGUGGAGACUACUUUGAAAAGCCUGGGGAGUGGUCUGAACACUGAGUCUACAGUACACGAGCUACUGAGUGCUCUGUGAACUCCUCCAAGAGGCAGGGGGGCAAAGGGAGCAAAGAAAAGCAUUUCCCACCUUGGCUAAACCUUUUGUGAAACAAAAUGAAAGCAGCUAGAAAUGAAGAGUUGGAAUGGGGUGAGCAUUCCUAGAAAUGCCACAACCACUUAGGAUGACAAGCCAACAGGGAUGCUCUCUGAACCGUUUGGGACUUUUCCAGAUGCCAGGAAGCAUUUUGUCAUUGCAAGGUUCUAGUUUUCUUCUGUCCCAUUUUUAUGGGGGAAGAAAAGAAUGGAGCAUAAUGAAUGGAAAUAGAAUGCAGAUGAGGAGCCAUUGGUGCUUGACUGCAACCUUGCUUUCUGGAAGUCAGAAGAUAUUGAGAUUUCUGCUCAGGUCAUGGCUCAUCGGCCGGACCCCUGUGGAGAGAGCAGGGAGAGCUGAGACAUGGGUGUGCAGGAGGAACUGAGCAGCUCACCGCACAGCUGAA